GGCGCACGGUGGAUGCCUUGGCACUAGGAGCCGAUGAAGGACGGGACUAACACCGAUAUGCUUUGGGGAGCUGUACGUAAGCUAUGAUCCAGAGAUUUCCGAAUGGGGGAACCCAACAUCUUUAAUAGGAUGUUACGAUUGUGUGAAUACAUAGCACAUUCGAGGUAGACGCAGAGAACUGAAACAUCUAAGUACCUGCAGGAAGAGAAAGAAAAUUCGAUUCCCUGAGUAGCGGCGAGCGAAACGGGAAAAGCCCAAACCAGCAAGCUUGCUUGUUGGGGUUGUAGGACUCCAAUAUGGUAGUUCUUUCAGAUAGUCGAAUGACUUGGAAAAGUCAGUCAAAGAGGGUAAAAACCCCGUAGACGAAAUGUGGAAGACACCUAGGAGGAUCCUGAGUACGGCGGAACACGAGAAAUUCCGUCGGAAUCCGGGAGGACCAUCUCCCAAGGCUAAAUACUCCCUAGUGACCGAUAGUGAACCAGUACCGUGAGGGAAAGGUGAAAAGCACCCCGGAAGGGGAGUGAAAUAGAACCUGAAACCGUGUGCCUACAACAAGUCAAAGCCCGUUAAUGGGUGAUGGCGUGCCUUUUGUAGAAUGAACCGGCGAGUUACGAUUGCAUGCGAGGUUAAGUUGAAGAGACGGAGCCGCAGCGAAAGCGAGUCUGAAUAGGGCGUUUGAGUAUGUAGUCGUAGACCCGAAACCAUGUGAUCUACCCAUGUCCAGGUUGAAGGUGCGGUAAAACGCACUGGAGGACCGAACCCACGUACGUUGAAAAGUGCGGGGAUGAGGUGUGGGUAGCGGAGAAAUUCCAAACGAACUUGGAGAUAGCUGGUUCUCUCCGAAAUAGCUUUAGGGCUAGCCUCGGAAUUGAGAAUGAUGGAGGUAGAGCACUGUUUGGACUAGGGGCCCAUCUCGGGUUACCGAAUUCAGAUAAACUCCGAAUGCCAUUCAUUCAUAUCCGGGAGUCAGACUGUGAGUGAUAAGAUCCAUAGUCGAAAGGGAAACAGCCCAGACCACCAGCUAAGGUCCCAAAAUAUAUGUUAAGUGGAAAAGGAUGUGGGGUUGCACAGACAACUAGGAUGUUGGCUUAGAAGCAGCCACCAUUUAAAGAGUGCGUAAUAGCUCACUAGUCGAGUGACCCUGCGCCGAAAAUGUACCGGGGCUAAACAUAUUACCGAAGCUGUGGAGUACACCUUUAGGUGUAUUGGUAGGAGAGCGUUCUAAGGGCGUUGAAGGCAGAUCGUGAGGACUGCUGGAGCGCUUAGAAGUGAGAAUGCCGGUAUGAGUAGCGAAAGACAGGUGAGAAUCCUGUCCACCGAAUGACUAAGGUUUCCUGGGGAAGGCUCGUCCGCCCAGGGUUAGUCGGGACCUAAGCCGAGGCCGACAGGCGUAGGCGAUGGAUAACAGGUUGAUAUUCCUGUACCCGUUGUUUUUGUUUGAGCAAUGGAGGGACGCAGGAGGCUAAGGAAUGCAGACGAUCGGAAAUGUCUGUCCAAGCAGUAAGUCUGAAGAGGAGUCAAAUGCUUCUUUUCUUAAGGACAAGCUGUGAUGGGGAGGGAAAUAAUAGUACCGAAGUUCCUGAUGUCACACUGCCGAGAAAAGCUUCUAGUGAGAAAACAGCGGCCCGUACCGCAAACCGACACAGGUAGUCGAGGAGAGAAUCCUAAGGUGAGCGAGAGAACUCUCGUUAAGGAACUCGGCAAAAUGACCCCGUAACUUCGGGAGAAGGGGUGCUGAUCAUACGAUCAGCCGCAGUGAAUAGGCCCAAGCGACUGUUUAUCAAAAACACAGGUCUCUGCAAAAUCGUAAGAUGAAGUAUAGGGGCUGACGCCUGCCCGGUGCUGGAAGGUUAAGAGGAGUGCUUAGCGCAAGCGAAGGUACGAAUUGAAGCCCCAGUAAACGGCGGCCGUAACUAUAACGGUCCUAAGGUAGCGAAAUUCCUUGUCGGGUAAGUUCCGACCCGCACGAAAGGCGUAACGAUUUGGGCACUGUCUCAACGAGAGACUCGGUGAAAUUUUAGUACCUGUGAAGAUGCAGGUUACCCGCGACAGGACGGAAAGACCCCAUGGAGCUUUACUGUAGUUUGAUAUUGAGUGUCUGUACCGCAUGUACAGGAUAGGUAGGAGCCGUAGAAAUCGGAACGCUAGUUUCGAUGGAGGCGCUGGUGGGAUACUACCCCUGCGUUAUGGCCACUCUAACCCGCACCACUAAUCGUGGUGGGAGACAGUGUCAGAUGGGCAGUUUGACUGGGGGCGGUCGCCUCCUAAAAGGUAACGGAGGCGCCCAAAGGUUCCCUCAGAAUGGUUGGAAAUCAUUCGAAGAGUGUAAAGGCAGAAGGGAGCUUGACUGCGAGACCAACAAGUCGAGCAGGGACGAAAGUCGGGCUUAGUGAUCCGGUGGUUCCGCAUGGAAGGGCCAUCGCUCAACGGAUAAAAGCUACCCUGGGGAUAACAGGCUUAUCUCCCCCAAGAGUCCACAUCGACGGGGAGGUUUGGCACCUCGAUGUCGGCUCGUCGCAUCCUGGGGCUGUAGUCGGUCCCAAGGGUUGGGCUGUUCGCCCAUUAAAGCGGCACGCGAGCUGGGUUCAGAACGUCGUGAGACAGUUCGGUCCCUAUCCGUCGCGGGCGUUGGAAAUUUGAGAGGAGCUGUCCUUAGUACGAGAGGACCGGGAUGGACUUACCGCUGGUGUACCAGUUGUUCUGCCAAGGGCAUUGCUGGGUAGCUAUGUAGGGAAGGGAUAAACGCUGAAAGCAUCUAAGUGUGAAGCCCACCUCAAGAUGAGAUUUCCCAUUUCUUUAAGAAAGUAAGAUCCCUGAGAGAUGAUCAGGUAGAUAGGUCAGGAGUGGAAGUACAGUGAUGUAUGGAGCGGACUGAU
rnacentral:rRNA from 1 species